CGUAGGAGCAAGCGUUGUCCGGAAUCAUUGGGCGUAAGCGCGCGUAGGCGGCCUCAUAAGUCCGUUGUGAAAGUCAAAGGCUCAACCUUUGAAGCCGAUGGAUACUGUGAGGCUAGAGUCCGGAAGAGGCGAGUGGAAUUCCUGGUGUAGCGGUGGAAUGCGCAGAUAUCAGGAGGAACACCAAUAGCGAAGGCAGCUCGCUGGGACGGUACUGACGCUAAAGGCGCGAAAGCGUGGGAGCGAACAGGAUU
rnacentral:rRNA from 1 species